rnacentral:rRNA from 1 species
UACGGGGGGGGCAAGCGUUGUUCGGAAUUACUGGGCGUAAAGGGCUCGUAGGUGGCCAACUAAGUCAGACGUGAAAUCCCUCGGCUUAACCGGGGAACUGCGUCUGAUACUGGAUGGCUAGAGUGUGGGAGAGGGAUGCGGAAUUCCAGGUGUAGCGGUGAAAUGCGUAGAUAUCUGGAGGAAUACCGGUGGCGAAGGCGGCAUCCUGGACCGACAUUGACGCUGAUGAGCGAAAGCUAGGGGAGCAAACGGG